CAAACCUCUUCCUCGUACCUUACCUCCGGCACCACCCUCCGCCGGCGGCGAUUCUCCAAACUUCACCGAAAAUACACCAUAGCCUCCUCACCUCUUCCUCUUUCCGAAUCUACAAUCCUUUUCCCUCAAAUCCUAGCCAAAUCCUUCGAAUCUUAAAUCAAAAGAAGCGGUCAAACCCCAAAAUCCUCCAAACCCAACCAAAAUCACACCCCAUGGCCUCCUCGACCUCCCCUUCCCAAAUCCCAAACCAAAACCCUUCAAAUCCAGUUUGAACCUUUCAAAUUUUAGAUCUAGGGUUUAGGCAAAGUUGAAGUUGCAGAUUCAAGGGUUUGUCAGUAUUCAAAUGGUUCCAAAAUGAUAUUAUGUGUUUGAUUUGUUAAAGGGCAGACAUAUAAUAUUAUUUAGGGAUCAUAUUUUAAGUCAGUCAAGUAAAAAUAAAAUCCGAGUUUGAAGGUCAAGAUUCAAGCCCAGUUGGUACACAACUGACAUGCUAGUUACUGUAAGCUGAAACAUGAAGCAUGAAUACAAAUAAAGAGUUGGAGUUUUAAUUUGAUUUAGUUUUGUUACUGAUUGUACUUAGGACAUUCUAUACACUACUGUUUUCGUAAAAAAGUUCUGCCAUUUCUGUAUAACUGGACAGUGUUAUAGUAAUGUAGUUAAUAAUGUCCCGUUGUUUUA